rfam:Trichinella spiralis unplaced genomic scaffold Scfld3459, whole genome shotgun sequence.
GCAUUGUUGUACUGGGUUAUCCCAGUGUGUGAUGUGGUCACAAUGGAUGAUCGGCGAUAGGCUUGAAGUGAUUCGCUCCGGAAACAGUGUCAGACGGGGAGUUUGACUGGGGCGGUACAUCUGUUAAACGAUAACGCAGGUGUCCUAAGGUAAGCUCAGCGAGGACAGAAACCUCGCCUAGAGUAAACGGGCACAAGCUUACUUGAUUUUGAUUUCCAGUACGAAUAGAAACCGCGAAAGCGUGGCCUAUCGAUCCUUUUGAUUGUGUAGAUUUCAUGCAAGAGGUGUCAGAAAAGUUACCACAGG